GACGAACGCUGGCGGCGUGCUUAACACAUGCAAGUCGAACGGAAAGGCCCUGCUUUUGUGGGGUGCUCGAGUGGCUAACGGGUGAGUAACACGUGAGUAACCUGCCCUUUACUUUGGGAUAACUUCAGUAAACUGGGGCUAAUACCGGAUAUGAGCUCCUGCUGCAUGGUGGGGGUUGGAAAGUUUCGGCGGUUGGGGUUGGACUCGCGGCUUAUCAGCUUGUUGGUGGGGUAGUGGCUUACCAAGGCUUUGACGGGUAGCCGGCCUGAGAGGGUGACCGGCCACAUUGGGACUGAGAUACGGCCCAGACGCCUACGGGAGGCAGCAGUGGGGAAUAUUGCACAAUGGGCGGAAGCCUGAUGCAGCAACGCCGCGUGCGGGAUGACGGCCUUCGGGUUGUAAACCGCUUUCGCCUGUGACGAAGCGUGAGUGACGGUAAUGGGUAAAGAAGCACCGGCUAACUACGUG
rnacentral:rRNA from 1 species